rnacentral:rRNA from 1 species
UGCGUAGGCGGGUUUCUAAGUCAGAGGUGAAAGCCUGGAGCUCAACUCCAGAACUGCCUUUGAUACCGGAAGUCUUGAGUUCGGGAGAGGUGAGUGGAACUGCGAGUGUAGAGGUGAAAUUCGUAGAUAUUCGCAAGAACACCAGUGGCGAAGGCGGCUCACUGGCCCGAUACUGACGCUGAGGCACGAAAGCGUGGGAGCAAACA